UUAACUUGUUACCGAGGAAGAGAUCCAGUUGCAGAUGACAGCUGAGUGCAUACACAGCCAGACGAAAACAGAUUUGAUCCCGGUACACCAAGGCACAGCUGUAAUCUGAGCCACAGAGCUACAAACCUGAGAGAAAUGGUGUGACUGAUCAUCAACGCCUGCAGGUAUGUGGGGCGGAAGAUCCGGGCUGCAGUGAGGGCGGAGAGGCAGCCAGAGAAAACAAGCACCACAUCACGCAGACAGGCUAAAGCACAAAGGGAUAACAGCGUGUGCACUGAACCAGCCUUGAUUCCCCAGCCAACGGAGACGGUCGAUGUGCUGCAGGAGAAUGAGUGUAGAUCCUGAAAGUAAACAGAGCUGGAGGGUAGAGUGGAAAGUUCAUAAUGAGGAGACAAACACAUAAAAACACACAAACACAAAUCCUGGUUGUUGCGCUUCUUCAGCGUGCCAUUUUUAUCCAACCUGGUAAGCAACGAAAAAAAACUGGCAUUGAAGGUAGUUUCAGACACACGGGUUUGUCACGAAAUUCCCACUUCAAAAUGGAUAUGACAUGAUGCUAGUGAGAGCGUUCGACAGUAUUGGUUUGUUUCUCCAUUUGUUUUUCAAAUAUCCUCCCUGUCAUGAGAUUCAUGUGUUCAUUCAUUGCACUGACUUGCAAAUUUGUUCCCUCCACAGUUUUACCCUGACACACAAACACAGACACAACCAGUCAUAAAAAAAAAAAUAACUAAAAUUAAACUCCUCGUUACACUGAACUCCCAUCUGCU